rnacentral:lncRNA from 1 species
GAUGAAAGACCAAAGAUAACUCUAGCUUUUAUCAGUUUCUCUUUUUUCAGUUGAACCUUGAGUUGGUUUCCACCUUUGAAAGAGAAGGCAGAAGAAGUCAACUCUGUUCUAUGUUCUUGAAAGAAAUAUGUCUGAGAUGAUAUGAGAAGAGCAGGCAAUCUGUCAUGUUCCUAUCUCCAGUGUGCUACACUAGAGACAUCAGAGAGUUUCCCUUGGGGAUGAUUGCCUGAAUUGUCUCUGAGUCAAUAGUCUACCAUUCAAGGCAGAUGCCAUGUGAUGCCAAUAGGGAGUGGAGUCUGAGAUCUGCUACAGAGAAAGUUAAAGGGACAACCUUGUGUAGAUGAAGGUUUCUUCUGCAAAGCUAUCAUCAGUCUGACACCUCAAACAAUGUCCCUACAAAGGAUCAGAUCCUUCAAACCCAGAAGAAACCAUGGAUUCACUGAUGAGGUGAAAAGGAUCCACUGAAGUUUAUUGGGUGCUAGAAGGAGGAUGACACGAUCAGUCUGCUAAAAUCAUGUCAUAAACAAAUGGGUUGGAACAAACUUGAAAUUAAAAAUCAUAAAAAGUU